rnacentral:tRNA from 1 species
CCUUCGAUAGCUCAGUUGGUAGAGCGGUGGACUGUAGUUGUAGAGAAAUGAGUGAAAUUGGGACACGAUCUAGUGCUUUCAAAUUCACAUCUAGAACAAUAGAAAUCCAUAGGUCACUGGUUCAAAUCCGGUUCGAAGGA